rnacentral:rRNA from 1 species
CCUACGGGUGGCAGCAGUGGGGAAUAUUGCACAAUGGGGGAAACCCUGAUGCAGCGACGCCGCGUGUAGGAAGACGGUCCUCUGGAUUGUAAACUACUGUCCCCAGGGACUAAGAUGACGGUACCUGGGGAGUAAGCUCCGGCUAACUACGUGCCAGCAGCCGCGGUAAUACGUAGGGAGCGAGCGUUGUCCGGAAUUACUGGGUGUAAAGGGAGCGUAGGCGGGGAUGAAAGUUGGGUGUUAAAUCUACCGGCUCAACUGGUAGUCGCACUCAAAACUGCAGCUCUUGAGUAAAGUAGAGGCAGGCGGAAUUCCUAGUGUAGCGGUGAAAUGCGUAGAUAUUAGGAGGAACACCAGUGGCGAAGGCGGCCUGCUAAGCUUUUACUGACGCUGAGGCUCGAAAGUGUGGGGAGCAAACAGGAUUAGAUACCCCUGUAGUC